rnacentral:rRNA from 1 species
GAUGAACGUUGGCGGUGUGCCUAACACAUGCAAGUCGAGCGGUGCAGUUUGAAGCUUCGGUGGAAAGCUGCAUAGCGGCGGACGGGUGAGGAAACGUAGGAACGUGCCCCUUGGAGUUGGAUAGCCACGGGAAACUGUGGGUAAACCGACAUAGACUCGAGAGAGUAAAGGCCGAAAGGCGCCAAGGGAGCGGCCUGCGGCCCAUCAGGUAGUUGGUAGUGUAAAGGACUACCAAGCCGACGACGGGUAGCCGGUCUGAGAGGAUGGCCGGCCACAAGGGCACUGAGAGACGGGCCCUACUCCUACGGGAGGCAGCAGUGGGGGAUUUUGGACAAUGGGCGAAAGCCUGAUCCAGCGACGCCGCGUGGAGGACGAAGCCCUUCGGGGUGUAAACUCCUUUUCUCAGGGAAAAAGGAUGAUGGUACCUGAGGAAUAAGCCCCGGCUAACUACGUG